GGCGUGGGGUGGCCAAACCCAGGGUGGGGUCAGGGUGGGGUAGCCUGUGUGUAAGAAGGCGUGAGCCCCCACCCCCCAGCCAGCUCCUUCCCUCCUCCCGCAGCUCCUGGGACUCAGGCAUGGGCAGGUGGGGAGGAAGACUCCUGGGUCCUGCCUGGUCCACAGAGAAGGUCACGUGAAGACGCCUCCUCUCCCUCCCUCUUGCCUCUCCUUCCCUAGAACCGCUAGAUGGAUGUGUUUCAACAGAUUCUGAGCUGAUAAAAUCUUAUUUAUCUUCGGCUGUUGACACAGAGCCGUCCAGACUUGCCUGCCCCGAGAUGCAUGUAUCCCUUCGUGUUUGCAGGAAACGGUUUGCCCAAAUGCUGGUGUCUGCCCAUCCCUGCCCUCCCCCACCGGACCCUCCCCCCAUUAGAGUCCUCGACGGGCCCUGUCUGGCUGGGAGCCCGGGGCCUGGCAGGGCUGGCGCGGGGGUGGCAGGCGAGAGGGUGGCGGGUGGCAGGCGAGGCUCCGUGGCUGUUAAUUUCCUCGCACCCGCUCCCCGGCAGCUGGGUGCCCGGCAUGGGCAGGUUUGGACAGGAGGAGAGUGGAGAGGUGAUAAUAGGUUGUCUGUCAUUUUCCAGGGACGUGUAGCAUCUUGCAAACCGCAAAUACCGUUAACCAGCUUGGGCGAAUCUGUUACAACAGAUUCUGGAAGACGGGGCCUUGAGGGGGGGCUUUUAUUUUUUUAAAUGAUUUUUUUUUAUAGCCCACUUUUAUCUGCUUGCCGCGUGUGUGUGUGUGUGCGUGCGUGUGUGUUCAGAGCCACAUUUCUCUCCUCUCUCAGGUUAUGGACCCCUUUGAGGACCUACCCAAGGCCACAGACUCCCUUCCUCCCUAGAGAAACUCCCACAAGAACACUUACCAAGAAGCUGUGUGGGUUCAUAGGGUGACCCCCAAGACCCACAGGGGGCCUAGGCCAACAGCCCCCAUUGACAGCCCUCCUGGCCCGUUUCAGAGCACCCAUGGACAGAAAGCGGUGAGGGUCCCUGCACAAGGAAACCCACAGCCAACGCCCCACCUUGGCCACGGGCCUGGUGGCUGGAGGAGGCUCCUGGGAGCUCCUGGACGCCGGUAGGCUGCAACCGUGCCUGAUAAAGAAGCCUGCCGAGAAUCCUCAAGAGCUCCUGGCUAGGGGAGGAGACACACGCAUCUGCUGACACCCUGCACAGGCUGGUCAGGGGGCUCCCUCGCCGGGAGCCCAGAGAAGGAUAAACGGGAGGCAGAAGCGGGCUUUGCGGGUGCCGAGUGACGCUGACCACUAUCCAGGGGCAUCCCUAGAGGCUGUGGGCCAGAGGCUGCCUACCUGUGAGAGGUGGGCCUGGGGCUGGCAGCAACACCCCUCAGGAGCCUGCCCCCCCACAUCCUAGAGCCUGUUCCCAAUCAAGGGAGCAGGAGCCCCUGGGACCCUCACGACCUGGAAGUACCAUGCCCUGGGAAGUGGCAAGCAUCCCCCUCAGGCACUCCCAGGCCACAGGGACUUGGGCCUACUCCGCCCUCCUCCCACACAUGGCUGCAAGCCGGGAAGGAUGUCUCUGGUGGCUUCUGUCCUGGGCUAACAUCAGGGGUGGGAGCGCUGAGACCCCUGAGUCCCCUUUGUCUCCACCAGGCUAGCCCUGGGUCCAGGAAGACUGCCACUCAAAGAGGCAUGCAGGGGGACAGAGCAAGGACACAGGUGCCAGGCACAACAUGCUUCUUCCUCUGGCCUGGGGUCAGGGGCAAGGGGGCCAAUGGGCGGGGACCUGCCCUUGGCCUCAGAUACCUAGGCCCUGCCAUCUGGCCUCCCCUGGACCCUGAGGAGGGGGCCUUGAGGAUGGAGAGGGUAAGCAGGACGUGUCUUUGGGGACCCAGCUGGGCUUGCGGGGAGCCCCAGCCUUCCCACCAGGAGCCACCCUCCUGGCCAAGAGCACAAAUGGUGGCCACGUCUGAAGCACCAGGAUCUGCCUCAGCCAGGCUCAAGCAUAGUUCCUCUGCCUGUGAACUUGGUUUCUGACUUUGCCAGCUGGAGAGCCCAAGCCUGUCUGUCCUGGCUUCCCAGAGAAGGCAGACACCCCGCUGGCUGGCCCCAUGGGGAAAACACUGGUAAGAAUGCAGCAAGGCAUGGCUGUGAGCCAGACCAGAGAACUAUCCGUGUGGGGACAGAAUGAGGAGGCUAGCCACCAGCCCGGCUCUGCUCACCACAGAGGGUCCCCUCAACUGCCAGGGGAAAGAUCCCCUAUGACCCUUAACGCCUACCUUCCCCUUCUGAGCUGCUUGGCCUUGUCAAUGUAGUGCUCAUAGGGUCAGCCUGCCUGGGCAGGGUGUGGGGGCCAGCAGGCACCUUCUGCUCAGAGGAUGGUCCUGGGAUCCUCUGACUGCAGGCACCCCAUUCUGGACAGGACUGCCAGUCUGGUGAGUGCAGGCACAGGUGGGCCGGCUCCUGCCCCCAGGGCCCAGAAGCUUCCAGAUGGCCUGGGCCUGGGGCCGGCCCAGCUGCAGGUGGCUUGGGAGCGGGGAGGUUGGCCCGGCCGUGGCCACAGUGGGGACGGGUAUUCAGGAUGGCCUCGAUGGCCCUGUGUCAGCUCCAGCUGGGGGCCCUGGGCACGGGCUCUCCUGCCUCUGACCUUCCUGCCAUGGAAGCUACAGGUCAGUCUCCAGUUCAGGACCUCAGUUAAAGACCUGCCCUCUGGCCAGGCAGUGGUGAGCAUGGUUUUUUCACUCUUAAGAAACUGCACCCUCUGCCAGCAGGACAGGAGCCCACAGCUUCUCCAGUGAGCUCAGGGAUGCCCCGGACACGUGGGGAUGGGCAUUUUCCAGCUUUUAAGGCAAUGGUUGGCUGGAAUCGAAGAUAAAUACCCAGCGAAGCCCCGGGGGAAAAGGAGAGUUUGGGACCCUAAACGUCUGACUGCCCUGCAGAGGGCAGCGGCUCCUAGAGCCAGGUGGUGAGCAUGUGGCACCCCCUCGUCUCAUCCUCCCCAAGGCCCCGGAGGAGCCAGCUGGCUCCUCACAUAGGAGGACGAGGAGGAGAGGGGAGGGGUUGCCUCGCCCCGGGGCACACGGCCAUGGUGGACGAGGCAGGUCUGUAAUCCCAGGGGGACCCUGGGCGUUAGGCCACCGCGGGAUCCCCCAGCAACCCCUGAGCUUCCACUUUACUGAAGCUUGGAGUGCUAGUCACUUGUGCGAGGCGGCGCAAAGUGCGCCCUGCCCUAAAAUGAGCCCGAGCGUAGCAGCCCUGUGGCCCUGUCCAGCCCGGGGGCCUCACACCUCACCCCAGCUCUGCCGCCCUCGAGUUUCUGCCCCCUCCUCUUCCUGGGGCCGCCUGGACAAAUACACGGACCGCCCCUGCAAGGGGGGGGGGGGAGGCGUGGCCAGGGAAAUUCUGGGGCCUGGGGUCCAUGAACUCGAGCCCUGCUUCCAAAAUCCUGACACGGAUUUCCCCCGCAACUGACCACUGAAAAGCUUCAUUGGUUGCUCAGCAGAGACCCUUGCCCAGAGUCCACAGGCCGGGGGCGGGAGCCUCAGGACCGCGUGGCCUCCUCAGCCCCGGUUCCAGGAGGAGCUGUCCCCCCUAUAACGGCAGCUACUGAUGCUGGCUGGGCAGCCAGGGCCUGGGAGAUGCCCAGGGAGAGGCGAGGAGGGGCUGUCCCCAGGCCCCGCUCCCGACUCCCCGACCCCUGGGCCCCAGACCUGGCCCCACUCGGCCUCCAAGGCCAAGUUCUGCGACCUCCAAGCCCAGGGGCCCCAGCGGCUGCAGAGGGUGGUGAGAGAAGCGAUCCCCAGCUCAGGCCACAGGCUAGGGCGCCGACACCAGCCAGGGCCAGCCUGCAGGAAGCGGGUCCCCGCCCCAGGAGCUUUGCACAAUGCAGGCAAUCACGGCCACUUCCCUUGUUCGCUCCUCAUUCUGUCUCCACCACAGACACUGAGAGCUCUUCCCUCGGCCUUAAAUACGCGUAACUGCUUCUGGUGCCAGUAAAAGGUAUUAAUUCCACUUAUGCAUUCCAUAAACUUUUAGGAUAACGCAAUUGAUACUGUGAUCAUGUCGGGACACAUCCACUAUUAUUUUCCUGCUCGCAAACCUCCGAGGGGCUGGAAAGUUUUCUCCCGAAUCCAUUAAUGUUGACUCAGCCACAUUCUGCCAGGAACCCCGUGGAGAACCUUUGUGUCUCCCGCCUGCCUUCCACAGGAGCCUCCUCCUGGGCCAGGAGGGUGGCGCUCACGCUGCGUGAGCUGGCUGGCCCCCAAGACGGACAGACUGACGCUCGUGUGUGGGGCGGCUGGAGGUCAUUCAGGGGGCUGUGUCCAGGUCCUCCCGUGGACUAGCUGAGCCCUCACGCCACGUGCACCCUCACCAUCACGCCUCACGCUACCCAGCUGGGCCGGGGCUCCGACUGUCCCAAGCCUCUUGCCUGACCUCGGACCCCCCUCCCAAACCUACCAAACCCCAAGGACAGCCCUCUUCCCUGGUGAGGCCCAGCCUAGGAGCCGGGGGAGACUGAGCUGGGCUGGACGGCAUCCAGAUGCCCCUCUCAUCGGCUGCUCCUCCAGGCUCCUGGGACCAGCCGUCCGUGUCACCGCCAAUCCCUGGGGGGCUGCGGGGUGAGAGUGGCCGUCAGGGCCCAGAGGCCAGGCUGGAGGGUGCUGGGGAGGGCUUGGGACAGCAACAAAGGCACAGUCACUGCCAUUGCCGGCCGGGCUCCACCGUCCGCCGGUCCAAAGAGCAUCAGCGCCCCCGGGUGCCAGCCUUCACUCGCCGCCCUGACCUUUUCGAUGUAGGUCUCUCCUUGACGCCCCCAGAGCCCCGAGGAGCGCCGACACGGGACAGGCCCUCACCAGGACGGCUCAACAGCAGUGGUUUGUGGGGCGCUCCCCGGGCUCCAGGCCCCGUUAGAAGUGGUCCCAGGAGGCAGCUCAUUUGUCCUGUCACGACCGUACCCUCAGACCCAGGCCCAGAGCAGUGCAACAGACCCCAGACCUGGACCCCGCCAGCCAAACUCCCACCUCGGCCCGUCCCUGGCCCCCAGUUUAUAAUCUUGGAGGCUGAACACACAUCCCUUGUCUGCUCAGUUGUGCUUGACCCGCCGGUCCUGGCCUGUGGGCGGGAGGGGUUGUCAGAACCCUGGGUCGGGACCAGAAGAGGCUGCACAUGUGCACAUGUGUUUGUGUAUGCCUGUGCACGUCUGCGUGUCCCUGUCUUCACGCGUGUGCAAGGUGUUUCCGUAUGUGCAUCUGCAUGUGGCACGCACGCCUGUGAGCUGAGGGCUCCCCUCGGUGCCCAAGGAGCAUGGAUGUGAGAUGUGGGGGUGCUCGCAGGGGGCCUCGGCCGGGCACAGGCCAAAGACCCCAUUAACAGCUGCGGUCCCUUGGGGACUUGGUGAGGGUGUUUUUUCCGAGCAGGGACAGGAGUGAAGGCAACAGUCAAUUUGGAAUUGUACUUGAGAAAAAUAUGAAUUAUCUAUCAGUUACCAGGCAUCCGGCACGGCGGGAGCCACGCACGGCGCGGUGCGGAGCCCAGACAGCGCGCCCGGGAAGCAAGUCCGGGCAGCGCCCGCGCAGCCAGACCCCCAGAGCUGCGAGCAGGCGGGCGGCCGGGCAGUCCCCGUCCUGCACCGUGAUCCUGGGCAGGGAAAGGAGCCUACGGGGGGUCUUCUCCCAGAGAGCCAAGGUGCCAAAAAUCUCAUUAUCAACGUCUGUCCCACCUCCACCCCCUGCGCUGACGAGGUCUGGGGGGGGGGGGUACCGUGUGCGCCAACAACAGCGCCUCCUUCUCAGAGCAGCCACGCGAAAGCAGAGGGCCCAGACAGGGAGGUGGGGAUCGGGGCUCGGGCACGCGGGGCAGGGUUGGUCAGGGCUUGUGGGCAGAGCCGCUGGGGAAAGGUAAGCCCUUCCCUGCCCUCUGGUGUGGCUGGCCGGGGCAGGCCACCCCAUGGGGCCACUUAGGGGCAGACAACUGUGACCCAGCCAUGGGCUUUCCACCCUUAAUGUCACUCCCCUGCCAGGGGAGGUGGGGACAGAGGCCCCAGGUGGGGGGGUGGGGAGGGGGGGACAGCCAGCCGAGGCACAGCCUCUGUCCCUUCCUGAGGACCAGCUCAGACCAUCCAAGGCACUCCAAGUCCCCCAAGACACUGCAGAGACCCCUCCUGCCUCCUCAAACAGUGGAGAGGAAGACAGCCGGGACCCCCCUCCAGUGCUUGCCAAGAUUCCUAGGGGUCCGGCAGCUCAGGCUUGGGUGACAGCAUUGGUGCAGGAGGCUGGGACCCUCCCCCGAGAGGCUGCAGGAAGGGCUUGGGGAACGGUAUGAACAUGGAGUAGGAGUGGUAGUGAGCCUCCUGUCACCAGAGGUGUGCUAGUGUGGGGAUGCCUCAGAAGCCUCCUGACCUAGCUUACAGUCACCCAGUCAAACCUCAAAUCGGGGUGGGAGGACCAGGACCCCGCAGGCAGUAAGAGAACCCUUUAGCACCUGCAGCUUCAGAACCUCACCCAGGAGGACCAGCUCUAUGGCACCCCAUCCCCAGCUCUGCUGCUAAGGUGACGCACUGCUCCUACUGUGCCAGCCCGAGCUGCGUGGGCAACAGCCCUUUAAGCCUUACCACCAGCGACAAGGAACACCGCAGGAAAAAGUCGCAAAUGAGGAAAACUGGGCGCCCACGGGGUGGGAGCCCCAGACCAGCGAUGGGUCAGCAGCUGGGGCGUCAGGGGGAGCUGUGACUUGGAAGCCAGACCCAGACUGGCCCCUGCAGAGCCUGACCAGCUCCCUGUGGUUCCACCCCACCCCCACCCGCAGAAGCAUGAGAAACAGCCCAGCAGGGCAGUGGGGAUCAGGGGACCCCUCCCCCCCCUUAAAGCAGCAGAGCCCCCGGGUCACCUGCUUGGUGCUCCUGAAGGGACACAGCCACCCUGCCUGGAGACUUCCCUGUUCCAGGGUCCUGUUGCCAUGGACUGGGGGAGACCAUGGAGCUGCUGUCCCCUGCAGGAGGUGACGCUGUCCCGUGGCCAGGACCCCCUAGAUGUGUCCGGGGUAGGUACUGGGCAAGGCUCGCUGUCCUUGUCCUGUAGGGGGGGGACAGGUGACCUGCCAAUGCCCCGCGUGCCCUACCCUUAGAGGAAAGCCUGUGGUCUGUCCUGGGGAUCUCUGGGUCCCUGCUGCGUCCCUGCCCCCGUGGGCAUGCCUGGCAGCCCCUUUCUCUUGCAGCUGCAGCAGCGCGUUUCAGCGAUUAGGACUGUAACCCCAGUGACCCCACGACCGGGAAGCCGGCCACGGGGUUCCCUGCUGGCCCUUACUAACGGUGUAACUCUGAGCGAGCUAUGUUCCCUCUCGUGCCUCCUUCCUUGGCUGUAAAAUGGGACAAUAACAGAUUCUAUCUCGUGCGUUGCUGGGUGGUUUCUAGAGUAAACUCAAAGCACCGGUGGGUGUGCGGGAUGCCAUCCGAGCUGGCAACGUCCCCACCAGGGGCCAGGAUGCCCCCAAGCACGGGCGCCAAAGACCCGAGUCUGCACAGCUGCCGACCCAGCCCUGACGUCCCGGUCUCACACCCACGCUCACAGACGACAACCCAGAGACUGUGCGGGCACAGCCCAAGCCCGCCAACCGCCGGACUCCGGACCUCCCCGCCGCCCCGCACCACCCGCAGGAAGUGGCCUCUGCAGACCCCGGUGGGGGGGGGCUGAUCCACGCGCCUCCUGCUCACCCAGGACACGACGCAAACCCCACCGGGGUGCGGGGACGCCUCGCGGGUCUCCCUGAGGAUGGUCUGCCCCUCUGGGGCCCCGCGGAGGCUGGCCGCUCUGGCCGCGUCCGUCCGAGGGGUGGGCACGCCCAGACUGCCCAGCCCCAGACCCGCCUCCUGCCCGACGCUCCUCCCGGAGGCGGCCGGGAACCCCGCGCGCGGACACCCGGCCGGCCGCCCGCCCGGGGGCGAUCACCCCUCCCCGGCCCGCACCCCGCAGGCGCCCCUGGGAGCGGACGCACAACUCACCGUCCAGGUGGCCGACUUGGCCGUGCUCGACUGCUGGAAGGUCACUGCUUGUGUUGGGAUAAACUGACAUAUUCACCUCGCCUCCCCCCUCCAUCGGCUCCUCCGGGUGCCAGGGUUUCCGGGGCUCCACCAAGCACACCUGGAGGGAGCUGCUGGUGGGGGUGGCUCCCGGCCCUCCGGACCUUCUCACAGGCCAGCAGACUCAGUGGCACUCUCCAGGGGGCGGUAUCCAGCCGGACACCCUCGCCUCCCACCCUGUGUUCCAGCCAGAAGCGGGGAGACCCCAGGCCCAGGGAGCCCGACUGUGGGAGAGGUGGGCCCGCCAGAGGGUGGCCCCAGCGUGUGGGGCCCAUAGUCCCCUCCUACUGGUCCACAUCCUAACCCUAACCCGGGAGCCCAGCCCCUCCCCCCACCCCCCCCCACAGGAGGAACAGGGACUCUAAGCUGUACUGUGUGUGUGCACCCCCAGCUCACCCCCUUGGGGUCCCAGGACCCCGAGAUGGGCCAGCCCCUGCCUGGGGCUUCAGGAGGCCCCAGCAAGGGGACCAGCCCAACCUAGGGCAGAUCAGACUCCUCCUGGAGGGCCGGCAAGGAAGACGCCUUUUCCAAUCUGGAGGCUUCGAGCAGCAGGUGGGCUGACAGAGCAAAGAGCAGCUGAUAUUGGCCAGAAGGGCUCCUACCUGCAAACCUGUGAGCUGCUCUCUGUGCCAGGAUGGCGGCGAGGUUUACUGUAAUCCUCUCUAGGAGCCGGAGGUGGACACUGCCAUUAUCGCGUUUCACAGAUGGGGACACUGAGGCACGUAGAGGGAGUGACCGGCCUGGGGUGAGGCAGUGGCCCCGAGAGCCCCGGACACGGGUGGGGAUGGUGGGAACUGCGGGCAGAGGGCCUGGGGUCCCCCUGGGGGGCAGGGACAGACCAGCAGCAAGCAUGGGGUGGGGGGCUUGCCCUGCAGCCCCCGCCUCACCAGCCUGCCUUCUCCAAAUUGCAAAGCACAGGGGUGCAUCCCCCAGGGGGACCGGCUGUUCAGCCCCUCUCUGCCUCCUCCAUCAGGAGAGAGGUGUGCAUAACCCAGAGCGCCUCCAGCUCAGCAUUUGUCUGGAAAGCACACGUUCCCCCAUCGGGCCUGCUGGUGACAAGGGUCCUUGGAGCCUCUACUGAAGACUGCCAGUCUGAAGGAAGCUUACCACAAGGGCUGAUGGAGCACAAGAAGGUGACAGGUGGCCAUGGCUUCGUGGCUCCUGGAGCCCAGGAUGCUCCAGCCCCCAGGGGACAGCCACCUGAGCCCCCCCCCCCCCCCCCCCGGCUGAAACUGCCAUCGGACGGACCCCUCAGGCGGGCCUCAGGCCUUUUCCGUUUGGACCUCCGGAGCCGUGGCCCACUGUGAACCUGGGGAAGGGCCGGCAGCGGGACAGGGGGGCAGCGGACAGGGGACCCCUGCAGGGCAACCGCAGAGGCCUCCUUCCCCGCUCUGGCCCCCACAGCCUUCCGUGCCUUCACCUGUCAACCUGGGAGGCCCCGGCACCCAGAUGAGCAAACUGUGGGGUCCGUCUGAGGGAGCAGUGGGACACAACCAUUCCAGAGUCAGACACACCCUACAGGGAGCACCACCAGCGAGGGCACAAAGCCAGCCACAGACGCGAGUAUGCCUGCCGUGGGGUCCCCGCUGACGGCCGGCCGAGUCCAGCCAGAGGCAGAGCCGUUGGCCACCAGGGCCUGGGUGGGGCUGGGGGCGGAGGCUAAGGGGCAGCUGGUUUCCUUUGGAGGUGAUGAAGAGGUUCUAAAAUUCACCGUCAAGGCGGGUACACACAGCUGUGAAUAUACGCAAACCCACUGAAUUGCACACUUGAAAUGGGUGAAUUGUAUGUCAGGUAAAAUGUAAGUCAAUCAAGCUGUUUAAAACAAAACAACUGGGGACCGGCUCCUCCCCUCUCCUGGCCCAGCAGGGGUGGGGGGCAGGGGCGGGGAGGAGAGCAAGCCUCCCCGCUCCACGUGGGGCCCCGGCCGGGGACCCCGGCGUGCCCUCACAGCCGAGGCAGCUGCUGUGGGCGUGGGCGCCCCGACUCCACACACUUGGCCACGAGAACAUAAAGGGCAGAAUCCAGCUCACGAUUUCACGUUCAGCACGCGCCGAAACGGGCACCGUUUCCCAUAAGUGAGAUAAAGUGUUAAGUUACUUCCAUGGGUUGCUUUUCACCGUUUGUUUUUCGACGUGGCUACUGGAAAUCACACGUGCAGCUCACAGCCAUCUGCUCCGGGCCGGGCCAGAGCCCAGGCCGCCAGGGGCUCACGGCAUUCCGGAGGCUGCCACCUUCCCCAGCAUCACAACCACUGUGAUCAGCAGCCCGGCCCCUGUCGGGGUACCACGGGCUAUCAUUACAGAGUGCUUCCCGAGAGGCCUGCUGAGCGGGCGAGUGAGUGAGUGAGUGAGUGAGUGAAUGAAUGAAUGAAUGACGGAGCGUGGGUGUGCCAGGCAAUAGGAGGUCUCCCCCGGACCGAUGCCCGGGAUUGAAGGCCAGGUGGGAAGCCGGCCCUCCCACUCAAGGAGGCUGAGAGCCCACCGGGUCCGUGGGGGAGGGCGGGGGUCCCAGCCUGCACCCUCCUCCCCAGGCUCUGUGACCUCUCCCCUCCCAGGUGACCAGCCGUGGCCCUGGGGAGCGUCUGCCAUGUUGCCAGUUGCGCCCUGGGCGACUGAAGGGCGGUGGGAGCCUCAGGGAGCACGGCACAACCCGGGGUGCAGGUCUGUUCCCCUCCCCGCCCCCUCCCACCGGGACGGCCCAGGCCAGCAGGGCAAAGGGCCCCCACGGCCCCCCCCUCCCAGAGAUGAGAGACAGCCCCACGACGACAACAACGUUGUUCAGAUUUUAACUUGUCCACAUUCUUUACCGAUCUGCAGCGGGUGCCAGGGAAUUAGUCACUGAACCAAAAGAGCAAGGCUGAUAGCAUCAUGUACCCAGCAGCCACAAGGGGCAGGGCCCGUGUGCGGGAGCCCUGGUGAGCGGGAAGGGAGCACUCUGCACACCGGGCGGGCGCCUCAGAUAGGCUCCCUCUGUCUGCCCACGAGCCAGCCAGUGGCCUGUGCUCACCCUCCUCCCUCCCGCCCCGUGACUCCGUGGCAUUUUGUGGUCCAGCUUCCUGGGGAGCGCCCCUCCUCCCUAGGAGAGCGUCGGGCCCCUCUGCGGGGCCAGGGCCAUCCCUGCUACCCUUCCUCUGAGUCCUGCUUCCCCAGGGACACCUGCGCCCACACCCCCAGGAAAUGGCAGAGGGCAGAGGUUUCUGUCCGGUUUGCUUUGUGCCGUUUCCGCUUUGCUGCAGGGAACCCCGCUGCUUAGGAAGUGGGGCGGCUUUUGCAUGGCUCCCGAAAGGUCCUUCCUUCCUUCCCUUUGCAUUCCUUCCCAGCCGGAUGGGGUGCACUGCACCCUGGGGACCAGCACCACCCCGACCUCGCUGUCCAAACCGGGCCCAGCACAGCCACAGAGAAGCCUGGGGUGCCCUUCGUCCAGACUGGAGGCCCCUGGCAGCGGGAGGAACCUCGGGCAAAACCAGGACUUUUUUGGUUUGUUUGCUUUCAAGCAGAACUCCCAAGAGAGCGGGCUGAUUAGGACAUGCCCAGCCCGGGGCGGCCCGCAUGUGCCUACAUGUGCGUGCAGGGCUCCUGGGCCCGACCCAAGCAGGGCUGCGGGCGGGCGGGC